GUCGCCGCGCCCGCCAAGAACGGCGCCGGCGCGCGCCACGGCGGCGAGCGCAACGCGCAGGGCGCCGGCGUGUGGAAGCGCGUGCGGCUCAAGCUCGAGGGGAAGGACCCCGACGCAGGGAGGAGGGCCAACCACCACGAGCAGGUGGAAUACAUAAUAAAUGAAGCGAUGAGCGCCGAGAACCUGUGCAUGAUGUACGAAGGCUGGAUGUCGUGGGUGUGAGGGCCCCUUAGCCGAGGCCCCCGGGGCCCCUUGUCCCCCGCCGCGCCUGCGCCUCUCGGCCCGUGCGCCGCGACGACACGACGACGACCGACAGACUCGGUCUGCGCAGAUCCAGCCCGUUGAAGCGACUACCGCAAGGUCGUAGGCUUGAGGAAACUUAAGGGAAGCGUCAUAUACUUCCACCGGGAAGACCGCUUCCUUUCUAAUUAAGUAAAACAAUCUUAAAAUUUUCGAAAAGAGCACCUCGAGGGGUCACCUCCGCCGAGCAGUGCCGCCUUUGGGGCGAUUUCGGUGUUAGGAUACGACAGGAAGUAAGCUAGCUUUUUAAUCCUUUACCUCUAUCUUAUUUUUUAAUGGGCGUCGUAUUAUUUAUCCGGUCGCUCGGCCUGCUUUGCUAAAA